rnacentral:rRNA from 1 species
AGUUGCCAUCAGGUAAUGCUGGGGACUCUAAAGGAACUGCCCACGCAAGUAGUGAGGAAGGCGGGGAUGACGUCAAAUCAGCACGGCCCUUACGUCCAGGGCUACACACGUGCUACAAUGGCCGAUACAGAGGGCAGCUACCUGGUGACAGGAUGCAAAUCUCCAAAGUCGGUCUCAGUUCGGAUCGGAGUCUGCAACCCGACUCCGUGAAGUUGGAUUCGCUAGUAAUCGCGCAUCAGCCAUGGCGCGGUGAAUACGUUCCCGGGCCUU